rnacentral:tRNA from 2 species
GGCCCAUUGGUCAAGUGGUUAAGACAUCGCCCUUUCACGGCGGUAACGAGGGUUCGAGUCCCUCAUGGGUCACCA